CCAGCAGCCGCGGUAAUUCCAGCUCCAAUAGCGUAUAUUAAAGUUGUUGCAGUUAAAAAGCUCGUAGUUGGAUUUCUGGCAGGGCGCCGAUGCCCGCUUGUUGCGUGUGCAGAGCGCCCUACCAUCCUUCUGUUAACUCUAAUAGGCAUUGAUUUGUCUGUAGAGGGCUCAGAUAUUUUACCUUGAGAAAAUUAGAGUGUUUCAGGCAGGCUUGCGCCGGAAUACAUUAGCAUGGAAUAAUGGAAUAGGACUUGAACCUCUUCUGUUGGUCUGAGGGGUCGAAGUAAUGAUUAAUAGGGAUAGUUGGGGGCAUUAGUACUUAACUGUCAGAGGUGAAAUUCUCGGAUUUGUUAAAGACUAACUUAUGCGAAAGCAUUUGCCAAGGAUGUUUUCAUUAAUCAAGAACGAAAG
rnacentral:rRNA from 1 species